GGAUUUUCGAAUGUAAAACCCAUGGAGUCCGCAGGUUAAUCACUAAAAUUCUAUCGCCCGCUUUUAUCUUUUCCUUUAUCUCCUCUAGUUAUCUAUUCAACCGUUCAAGUAUCAGAAUGCUCCCCUCCUGUUAUACAGAGAGCUCACAAGACUGGGCAUGGCAAAAGAACGAAGAGAUGCGCUGAACAACCAAAAGAUGGGCAAGAGACUAAAUAAUACCAAAGCUUACAUGUAUUAUUUUCUCUAAUACCUCCUGCCAAACAACCCCUAGUAGUUAAAAGGACAGACUAUACAACUAAGUUGCAGAAGUUUGCUAGACAAACUUUGUUGGCAUAAUAGUCUUUGGAACCCAUCUUCGUAUUAAGGAGGCGCCAAAAAUCUGAGUCUCAAUCCUCGUCCAUUCAUCGUUUCUCUCAAAGAGAUCUAGUCUUCGUCAUCUUGACGUUUGUGCGGAAUCAUUUCCCGGGCAGUUCCACACACAACCACAAAGAAAUUCCUAAUGCAAUCCAAUUAGAGCAGCCCAAAUGGCAACAAGCUGAUGGAUAAUUGCUUCUGCAACAAAUACUUGACAUACAUACCAG
rnacentral:misc_RNA from 1 species